rnacentral:rRNA from 7 species
UAAAAAGCUCGUAGUUGGACUUGUGUCCCACGCCGUCGGUUCGUCGCCCGUCGACGUAACCGCACGGUUAUGUGAGUGGGACGUCCAGCCGGUGGGUCGUCAGGUCGCGCGCUCAGCUGGCCGCGCCCCUUGGCGGUGUUCUUUCCGUGGCCUCGCCGUGACGUGUGUCGGGUGGGCGGGCGGCGUUCGCGUCGUCCCCCCCUGGCCCGUCAUCAAAAGCGGCGUGCGUCGCGGGGCCCGCCUCGCAGGGUGUCGCUGUGUCGGCGCGCGCGGUGCCGGACCCAUGUUACUCGUCUCGGUGCUCUUAAUCGAGUGUCUUGACGGGCCGGCUCUUUUACUUUGAACAAAUUAGAGUGCUUAAAGCAGGCCAAUUGCCGCCUGAAUAUUGUGUGCAUGGAAUAAUGGAAUAGGAUCUCGGUUCUAUUUUGUUGGUUUUCUGAACCAGAGAUAAUGAUUAAUAGAGACUGACGGGGGCAUUCGUAUUGCGACGUUAGAGGUGAAAUUCUUGGAUCGUCGCAAGACGAACAGAAGCGAAAGCAUUUGCCAAGAAUGCUCUCAUUAAUCAAGAACGAAAGUUAGAGGUUCGAAGGCGAUCAGAUACCGCCCUAGUUCUAACCAUAAACGAUGCCAACUAGCGAUCCGCCGGAGUUCCUCCGAUGACCCGGCGGGCAGCUUCCGGGAAACCAAAGUGUUUGGGUUCCGGGG